rnacentral:rRNA from 1 species
AACGAACGCUGGCGGCAGGCCUAACACAUGCAAGUCGAGCGCGCCCUUCGGGGUGAGCGGCGGACGGGUGAGUAACGCGUGGGAACGUGCCCUUUUCUACGGAAUAGCCUCGGGAAACUGAGAGUAAUACCGUAUACGCCCUUUGGGGGAAAGAUUUAUCGGAAAAGGAUCGGCCCGCGUUGGAUUAGGUAGUUGGUGGGGUAAUGGCCUACCAAGCCGACGAUCCAUAGCUGGUUUGAGAGGAUGAUCAGCCACACUGGGACUGAGACACGGCCCAGACUCCUACGGGAAGCAGCAGUGGGGAAUCUUAGACAAUGGGGGCAACCCUGAUCUAGCCAUGCCGCGUGAGUGAUGAAGGCCUUAGGGCUGUAAAGCUCUUUCAGCUGGGAAGAUAAUGACGGUACCAGCAGAAGAAGCCCCGGCUAACUCCGUG